rnacentral:rRNA from 1 species
UACGAAGGGGGCUAGCGUUGCUCGGAUUGACUGGGCGUAAAGGGCGCGUAGGCGGUUUGUACAGUCAGACGUGAAAUUCCUGGGCUCAACCUGGGGGCUGCGUUUGAUACGUGCGAGCUUGAGUUCGGAAGAGGGUCGUGGAAUUCCCAGUGUAGAGGUGAAAUUCGUAGAUAUUGGGAAGAACACCGGUGGCGAAGGCGGCUAUCUGGACCGUAACUGACGCUGAGGCGCGAAAGCGUGGGGAGCAAACGGG